GUACAACACCAUCUACCUGAUUGAUCCUGCCAGUAGCAUAUGCUUUGUCUCAAAGAUUAAGCCAUGCAAGUCUAAGUACACACGCCCGGUACAGUGAAACUGCGAAUGGCUCAUUAAAUCAGUUAUGGUUCCUUUGAUCGCUCUACCGUUACUUGGAUAACUGUGGUAAUUCUAGAGCUAAUACAUGCCAACGAGCGCUGACCUCCGGGGAUGCGUGCAUUUAUCAGACCCAAAACCCAUGCGGGGCGGCUCUCGGGCCGCCCCGGCCGCUUUGGUGACUCUAGAUAACCUCGAGCCGAUCGCUGGCCCCCGUGGCGGCGACGUCUCAUUCGAAUGUCUGCCCUAUCAACUUUCGAUGGUACUUUCUGUGCCUACCAUGGUGACCACGGGUAACGGGGAAUCAGGGUUCGAUUCCGGAGAGGGAGCCUGAGAAACGGCUACCACAUCCAAGGAAGGCAGCAGGCGCGCAAAUUACCCACUCCCGACUCGGGGAGGUAGUGACGAAAAAUAACAAUACAGGACUCUUUCGAGGCCCUGUAAUUGGAAUGAGUACACUUUAAAUCCUUUAACGAGGAUCAAUU
rnacentral:rRNA from 1 species